rnacentral:misc_RNA from 1 species
GAUGAAGAACGUAGCAAAAUGCGAUAAGUAAUGUGAAUUGCAGAAUUCAGUGAAUCAUCGAAUCUUUGAACGCACAUUGCGCCCGCCAGUAUUCUGGCGGGCAUGCCUGUUCGAGCGUCAUUUCAACCAUCAAGCCCCCGGGCUUGUGUUGGGGACCUGCGGCUGCCGCAGGCCCUGAAAAGCAGUGGCGGGCUCGCUGUCACACCGAGCGUAGUAGAUUUUAUCUCGCUCUGGGCGUGCUGCGGGUUCCGGCCGUUAAACCACCCUUUUAACCCAAGGUUGACCUCGGAUCAGGUAGGAAGACCCGCUGAACUUAAGCAUAUCAAUAAGCGGAGGA